GCGCUUUCUUGGGCAGCGCAUAUACUAAAAUUGGAACAACACAGAGAAGAUUAGCAUGGCCCCUGUGCAAGAAUGACAUGCAAAUUCAUGAAGCGUUCCAUAUAAAA